rnacentral:rRNA from 1 species
CAGCCGCCGCGGUAAUACGUAGGUCCCGAGCGUUAUCCGGAUUUAUUGGGCGUAAAGCGAGCGCAGGCGGUUAGAUAAGUCUGAAGUUAAAGGCUGUGGCUAAACCAUAGUACGCUUUGGAAACUGUUUAACUUGAGUGCAGAAGGGGAGAGUGGAAUUCCAUGUGUAGCGGUGAAACGCGUAGAUAUAUGGAGGAACGCCGGUGGCGAAAGCGGCUCUCUGGCUUGUAACUGACGCUGAGGCUCGAAAGCGUGGGGAGCAGACAGGAUUAGAUACCCCCGUAGUCCCUGUCUCUUAUACA